rnacentral:rRNA from 1 species
GACGAACGCUGGCGGCGUGCUUAACACAUGCAAGUCGAACGGAAAGGUCCUGCUUUUGUGGGGUGCUCGAGUGGCGAACGGGUGAGUAACACGUGAGUAACCUGCCCUUGACUUUGGGAUAACUUCAGGAAACUGGGGCUAAUACCGGAUAGGAGCUCCUGCUGCAUGGUGGGGGUUGGAAAGUUUCGGCGGUUGGGGAUGGACUCGCGGCUUAUCAGCUUGUUGGUGGGGUAGUGGCUUACCAAGGCUUUGACGGGUAGCCGGCCUGAGAGGGUGACCGGCCACAUGGGGACUGGGAUACGGCCCAGACCCCUACGGGAGGCAGCAGGGGGGAAUAUUGCACAAUGGGCGGAAGCCUGAUGCAGCAACGCCGGGUGGGGGAUGACGGCCUUCGGGUUGUAAACCGCUUUCGCCUGUGACGAAGCGUGAGUGACGGUAAUGGGUAAAGAAGCACCGGCUAACUACGG